rnacentral:rRNA from 1 species
UGGGGAAUCUCGCGCAAUGGGGGAAACCCUGACGCAGCCAUGCCGCGUGGAUGAUGAAGGUCUUAGGAUUGUAUAAUCCUUUCAGCGGGGACGAUAAUGACGGUACCCGCAGAAGAAGCCCCGGCUAACUUCGUGCAAGCAGCCGCGGUAAUACGAAGGGGGCUAGCGUUGCUCGGAAUUACUGGGCGUAAAGGGCGCGUAGGCGGAUAGUUCAGUCGGGGGUGAAAGCCCGGGGCUCAACCUCGGAACUGCCUUCGAUACUGGCUAUCUUGAGUACGGGGGAGGUGUGUGGAACUCCGGGUGUAGAGGUGAAAUUCGUAGAUAUUCGGAAGAACACCAGUGGCGAAGGCGACACACUGGCCCGUUACUGACGCUGAGGCGCGAAAGCGUGGGGAGCAAAC